rnacentral:rRNA from 1 species
GACGAACGCUGGCGGCGUGCUUAACACAUGCAAGUCGAACGGAAAGGCCUGCUUUCCCUUGUGGAUUGCGGGUACUCGAGUGGCGAACGGGUGAGUAACACGUGAGUGAUCUGCCCCUAACUUGGGUAUAAGCCUGGGAAACUGGGUCUAAUUCCCGAUAGGACUGCAGGGUGGUGCCUGUGGUGGAAAACGAUUUUCUAGUGGUUGGGGGUGAGCUCGCGGCCUAUCAGCUUGUUGGUGGGGUAAUGGCCUACCAAGGCGGCGACGGGUAGCCGGCCUGAGAGGGUGGACGGCCACAUUGGGACUGAGAUACGGCCCAGACUCCUACGGGAGGCAGCAGUGGGGAAUAUUGCACAAUGGGCGGAAGCCUGAUGCAGCGACGCCGCGUGGGGGAUGACGGCCUUCGGGUUGUAAACUCCUUUCGACCGCGAGGAAGCCACCUGGUUGGAAGGGUGGUGACGGUAGUGGUAGAAGAAGCACCGGCUAACUACGUG